AUGGACGGCGAGCUCGGGAGCCUACUGAAGGCCACGGCGGCGGUUUGGGCGGCCAUGUACUACGCCCGCAUGGCCGCCGCGCUCAUUCGCCCAGGCGCCGCUCGCCUCGCCGCGCUUCUGCCCGCUGUCGCGCUCUUCUGCGCGAUCCCCUUCGCCUUCUCCACCACCACGUUCCGCGGCAGCUCCGCCUUCUUCCUCUGCUGGCUCGGCACCUUCAAGCUCCUCCUCCUCGCCGCCGGCCGCGGGCCCCUGGACCCGUCCCUCUCCCUGCCCCACUUCGUCUUCUCCGCCUCCCUGCCCGUCAAGUUCCGGCAGCCCGCCCCCGCCAAAUCAAAGGACCAAGAUCCCGCUUCGGCUUCGGCCCGUGGACACGGCCCGGCCAAGAUCCUCGUCGCCGGCGCCGUCAUCCCCUUCAUCAUCUACGCGUACCAGUUCAAGGACGCGAUGCGCCGGUGGCAGCUCGUCCUCCUGUACACCGUGCACAUCUACCUCUCCCUGGAGCUCCUGCUGGGCUCGGUGCGCGCCCUGAUCCACGGCGUGCUGGGCAUGGAGAUGGAGCCGCAGGUGGACCGGCCGUACCUGGCGUCGUCGCUGCGGGACUUCUGGGGCAGGCGGUGGAACCUCAUGGUGCCCGCCAUCCUCCGGCCGUCGGUGCACGGCCCCGUGCGCGCGCGCUUCGGCGACGCGGCGGGCGUCAUGGCGUCCUUCCUCGUCUCCGGGCUCAUGCACGAGGUGAUGUUCUACUACAUCAUGUGGCAGCCGCCCAGCGGCGACGUGACCGCGUUCUUCGUCCUGCACGGCGCGUGCACCGCGGCGGAGGGGUGGUGGGCGCGGCACGCCGGGUGGUGGCGCCCGCCGCGGGCGGCCGCGGUGCCGCUCACGCUGGCGUUCGUGGGCGGGACGGGGAUCUGGCUCUUCUUCCCGGCCAUGGUCAGGGGCGGCCUGGACGAGCUUGUGCUGCAGGAGUGCCAGGGCUUGGUGGCGGCCAUGGAGCAGGCCGGCCGUUGGCUCGCCGGCGGCGCCGCCGCCGGUCCCAUUCUUUCCACGCGCUGA
rnacentral:rRNA from 1 species